rnacentral:tRNA from 2 species
GGCAACUUGGCCGAGUGGUCUAUGGCGCAUGACUCAAGGACUUCUCCUUUCACGGUGAUUCAAACAUCGUGGAGUAUUCAUGUCUUCGAAAGGGGGCGAGGGUUCGAAUCCCUCAGUUGUCA